rnacentral:rRNA from 1 species
CAAUAGCGUAUAUUUAAGUUGCUGCAGUUAAAAAGCUCGUAGUUGGAUUUCGGGUGGGAAUGGCCGGUCCGCCGUUUCGGUGUGCACUUGCUACGCCCACCUUGCUGCCGGGGACGUGCUCUUGAGUUCACGCUCGGGACACGGAGUCGGCGAGGUUACUUUGAGUAAAUUAGAGUGUUCAAAGCAGGCCUACGCUCUGAAUACAUUAGCAUGGAAUAACACGAUAGGACUCUGGCCUAUCUUGUUGGUCUGUAGGACCGGAGUAAUGAUUAAGAGGGACAGUCGGGGGCAUUCGUAUUUCAUUGUCAGAGGUGAAAUUCUUGGAUUUAUGAAAGACGAACUACUGCGAAAGCAUUCGCCAAGGAUGUUUUCAUUGA